rnacentral:rRNA from 1 species
AUGUGGCGCCAACGAUCAAGAAUAUCCAAGAUCAAAGCAAGCGAUGCUUCCUGCAAAUUAUUCCACCUAAGAGCGAAUGGUCGAAGAAGGAAGAACCAUAUUCCUGUCCUUCGACGUGAGAAUGGUGAUGUUAAUGAGCACAAGCUCAAGGAGGAACUCCUUUUCAAUCACUUCAAAUCUCUGUUGGGGACGUCUGGUGCUGAGAGGAAGGUGAUCAACUGGAGCCUUCUACCACAUCCUUCAGCUAACCUGCAGCACCUGGAGUUGCCUUUCUCGGAAGAAGAAAUUAAGGUGGCUAUCUUCGACUUGCUGGAUGAGAAAGCCCCAGGUCCAGACGGUUUUAUAGGGAAAUUCUUCAAAAGAUUAUGGCUACUAAUCAAGGACGACCUGGUGGCUGCGGUGCACCAAUUUUUUUGCCUUCGGGGAGCCAACUUGAACCUUCUGAACUCUGCAAACAUUGUCUUGCUCCCCAAGGUUGAGGUUGCUGCUUCGGCCAAUGAUUUCAGGCCUAUCAGCUUGCUGCACAGCUUUGCCAAGAUUAUAUGCAAAUUGUUAGCUAAUAGGUUGGGGCCGAACCUGCAGCAUCUGAUUUCUUGCACCCAAAGUGCUUUCAUCCGAGGAAGAUCUAUCCAAGAUAAUUUCCUUUAUGUCCAAAAUACAAUCAAAGAUGCUCACAAGAGGAAUAUCCCUUUGGUCUUCCUGAAACUUGAUUUCGCCAAGGCGUUUGACUCUGUGGGAUGGCCAUAUCUUCUGGAUGUAAUGGAGGCUUAUGGUUUUGGGCAGAGGUGGAGAAACAUUAUCAGUUUGCUGCUUGCCACAUCCUCUUCACAGGUGCUUUUUUUUAGAACGAAGGCUUAA